GACGAACGCUGGCGGCGUGCCUAAUACAUGCAAGUCGAACGCAGUGGGGACGGGUGAGUAACACGUGGGUAACCUCCCAUCAGAGGGGAUAACACUUGGAAACAGGUGCUAAACCGAUACUGAUGUAUGGACCCGCGGUGCAUUAGCUAGUUGGUGAGGUAAAGGCUCACCAGGGCGACGAUCCCUAGCUGGUCUGAUAGGACGACCAGCCACACUGGGACUGGGACACGGCCCAGACUCCUACGGGAGGCAGCAGUAGGGAAUCUGCGGAAAUGGACGGAAGUCUGACCGAGCAACGCCGCGGGAGUGAAGAAGGUUUUCGGAUCGUAAAGCUCUGUUGUUAGAGAAGCGGUAACUAACCAGAAAGGGACGGCUAACUACGUGCCAGCCGCCGCGGUAAUUC
rnacentral:rRNA from 1 species